rnacentral:lncRNA from 1 species
GCACUCGAAAAAAAUAAACAUUGUGAUUCAUCCGACAAAAAACGGUUAAAUUCAAUCAAUUACUCGUAAGUCAUGGACAUAUGGUGUAAAAAUUGUUAAUCAAAUAUUCCUAAUAUAUUUUCCGGUAUAUUCAUUUUUAGUUUGUAUAAACAACUGUUAACGUCAUUAUCAAACUACGUUUUUACGUCUAUAUUUUCCCGGACCAUCGCACAUUAGCGUAUGGAACCACGUAAUUUAGAGUAGACCAUCGCACUUUAGCGUGACCAUCGUACUUUAGCGUCCCCAUCGCACUUUAGAGUCCUACAUAUUUAAUU